GAUAUUGCUUCUCCUUAUAUUAGUACCUAUACAGUAGAUGAUAUUCAUUCCCAAAUAAAAAUAUAGAAGAUCUGUAUGUUUUAAAAUUCUUGCAAAUUGAACGAACUACUUGUUAUCUCUUCUCUAAUCUUUCUCUUGAUCAGAUUCUCUUUUUUACUAUCCAUUGCAAAAUUUACUCAAUAAUAUGUACAAUGCGUACAAUAAUAAUCAUGAAACCGUCUAGCUCCUUAUUGAGUCCAUGGCCCCUUUUUCCAUGCAAUGGUUAGUAUUAUUUGUUCCACCUGUAUCUCAUCAUAUGAUUUUUUUCCUUGCAAUUUUUGUGCUUGCAAGAUGUCAGCUAGCAGUCUAUCAGUAUCUAAACAAUGCAGUAACCAUGAUGUUGGUAUGAAACUGUCCUACAGGUCAGGUUUUGAACUGUUGAAAAUAGAUGCGCAGAUUGAUAAGAUUGUGUUAAAAUCAUUAAUUUGCCUUGGUUGAUCAUGUAAGGGAUUAACUUUCUUUAUUGGCGUGCAGCUUCAGGGGCAGAUGUAAAUGUAUAGCUUAUGACAUAAUCAUAGAAAGUCGGGCAACCCAUUCGCUUACUUGAUAAAUCCUCCCCUGGUUCAGUCCACUAAGGUGUCCAUUUCCUUAUCUCCUCCUCAUGACGCAGCAUUCUUAUUUAUUCCAUAUCCUUAAUUUUUACACUAACUAGUCCAGCGAGUCUUUGUUAGUUAAGUGUGCCAGUAUAUGUCUAUUUUUUCCGAUCAUAACUUUUGUACAUGCCUAUAUUUUGUAGAUUCAUAUAGGUAUUGAUAUUCAGGUAUUCAAUGCAUGACAAAUGAUACAUGAUUAGGGAGCUGAAUUGUGACCAAAGAUCAAAUCCUCUUGGGCAUAUGAUAUUCUACAUUGGCAGGAAAGGCACAUGGGCAGUGUUUCUUAUAACUGGGUGAGAAUUUCAAUACAAGAUGAUUACUUGGAGCUUGGAGAACGUAUGAUGGUUCUUGGUACUUGGAGGAAAAACAAGACAAUUCUCUGAAUGUUUAGAAAUUUUAUAUUUUGUUUUAUUUUAUUUUUCGAAGGAAGUGAUGUACUCCUAAUUGAUGAUACUUCCAUUGUAAUGUAACAGAUUGUUCCAUUGAAUCAAUAUAUCAUUUUCAUUUCUA